UAGGGAAUCUUCCACAAUGGACGAAAGUCUGAUGGAGCAACGCCGCGUGAGUGAAGAAGGGUUUCGGCUCGUAAAACUCUGUUGUUAAAGAAGAACAUAUCUGAGAGUAACUGUUCAAUGUGUGACGGUAUCUUACCAGAAAGGAACGGCUAAAUACGUGCCAC
rnacentral:rRNA from 1 species